rnacentral:lncRNA from 1 species
AGAAGAUUGCAAAAAGAUUGAACAGUACAUGACUGCUUCUUUUUUGACAAGGACAUGCCUCUCGUCUCUUGCAUUUUUAAUUACAAGCAGUUUCUUGGGUAUAUCUUUUGAUUUAUUAGCUCCAAUUCCUUGGAUUAAGAAGCAGCUUCAAAAGUUUCGAAAAAAUGAUAUGCUUCAGCUGGUACCAGAAAGGAGCGAGGACUAUCCUUUGGAAAAUCAUGACAUAAAGCAGCUUCAAAAAUUUCGAAAAAAUGAUAUGCUUCAGCUGGUACCAGAAAGGAGCGAGGACUAUCCUUUGGAAAAUCAAGACAUUGAUAGCUUGGAGAGGCCUCUAAUUCAUGAAAGGAGUUCAACUGUGGUUGACA